rnacentral:rRNA from 1 species
GGGCCUACGGGAGGCAGCAGUGGGGAAUAUUGGACAAUGGGGGCAAGCCUGAUCCAGCCAUGCCGCGUGAGUGAUGAAGGCCGUAGGGUUGUAAAGAUGGGAG